UUUACGGAAGAGAGUGACUAACAGGGAAAAAGGGGAGUAAGAGAGAGAAAGAGAGUAAUGUAAAGAGAGAGAGAGAUACUUACGGGCCGGCCACCAAUCUUACGGCGGAGACCCGGCGGCACGCCGGCGGUUACAUCCAUACCACGCUGUCCGGAGGACGAGCGUUCCAUCAGUGAUGUCGGUUCGGUAGUACAGUGUCCUACAAUCGAUUUGGCUUCAAGUCGAGGUCCCCAACGACCUGCAACGGCCGAACAGUUAGGGUCACGUCGCAAACUGGAACUACGAUUCCCAUCGGUUAUUGUAUCCCCAUCGCCACCACAUCAUCCUAUUGGAACGCGAAACCCUACUCACCAUCUCCGGCGAUUAUGCUUCAAACGCAGUAUCAGUGGCAAAAAGGAACCGGAGAUGUUUAUAGAUCAAAUGUGUGCUAUGAUAUCAAACUUGCAGAGGGGGAUGUAAAGAGAGAAGGAAGUAACACAAUAAUGGGAAGACGAUGAUUUGAAUGAUGAUUUCUCUAUGUAGUUGAGGAGGGUGAAAGUCAAGGUAUAAAUCUUGAUCAUGCACCUUUCAUUUUUGCAUAAGUGCUACAGAAACAUUUGUGAUGAAUCAACGUGGAAUUAAAGUUUUGAUA